CCAUUUUUCCUUACAAACAUCAACAUGCCGUCUCACACACUUACCCGUCACCCCAGCCGGGUUUCAAAGCCGCGGUGCUGUCGGUGUGUCCUACACUUGCCGCAAUAAGUGACUAAAGCAUAAAAGGGGAGAGGGAGGAGCAAUCGUGGCAGAAGUAGGGGAGGAACCACCCGACAAUGAAGACCAUGAGAGCGACGAGAUCGACCCCGAGCAAGAUGAACCCCCACAGCAGACGCAGCCACCGGACACCGAAAGGUGCGCCGCGACAAGCAGGAAGACCCAUGGCGCGACGGACUGGCAAGAAGUUGACAUGUUUAUUGAAAGAAUAAAUCAGAGUCAAACCUGUUA